CCUACGGGUGGCAGCAGUGAGGAAUAUUGGUCAAUGGGCGUAAGCCUGAACCAGCCAAGUCGCGUGAGGGAUGAAGGUUCUAUGUAUCGUAAACCUAUUUUAUAAGGGAAUAAAGUGCGGGACGUGUCCCGUUUUGUAUGUACCUCAUGAAUAAGGAUCGGCUAACUCCGUGCCAGCAGCCGCGGAAAUACGGAGGAUCCGAGCUUUAUCCGGUUUUAUUGGGUUUAACGGGUGAGUAGGCGGUUUUUUAAGUUAGUGGUUAAACGUCGGGGCUUCACCUUGAUUAGCCAUUAAUACUGUAAGACUCGAGUUCAGACGAGGUAGGCGGAAUAAGUUAAGUAGCGGUGAAAUGCUUAGAUAUAACGUAGAACACCGAUAGCGAAGGCAGCUUACCAGACUGCGACUGACGCUGAAGCACGAGAGCGUGGGUAGCGAACAGGAUUAGAUACCCCUGUAGUC
rnacentral:rRNA from 1 species